rnacentral:rRNA from 1 species
UACAGAGGUCCCAAGCGUUGUUCGGAUUCACUGGGCGUAAAGGGUGCGCAGGUGGGUUUGCAAGUUCGAUGUGAAAGCCCCGGGCUUAACCCGGGAAUGGCAUUGGAUACUGCAGAUCUGGAGGAUCGGAGGGGGGACUGGAAUUCUUGGUGUAGCAGUGAAAUGCGUAGAUAUCAGGAGGAACUCCGGUGGCGAAGGCGGGUCUCUGGGCCGUAACUGACGCUGAGGAGCGAAAGCAUGGGGAGCGAACAGG